GGAGUUAGCCGGUGCUUCUUCUGUGAGUGAUGUCCUUCCUGCCGGCUAUUAACCCGCAGGCCUUCUUCCUCACUGAAAGUGCUUUACAACCCGAAGGCCUUCUUCACACACGCGGCAUGGCUGGAUCAGGGUUGCCCCCAUUGUCCAAUAUUCCCCACUGCUGCCUCCCGUAGGAGUCUGGGCCGUGUCUCAGUCCCAGUGUGGCUGAUCAUCCUCUCAGACCAGCUACGGAUCGUCGCCUUGGUGAGCCGUUACCUCACCAACCAGCUAAUCCGACAUAGGCUCAUCCGAUAGCGCGAGGCCCGAAGGUCCCCCGCUUUCCCCCGUAGGGCGUAUGCGGUAUUAGCCUGGGUUUCCCCAGGUUAUCCCCCACUACCGGGCAGAUUCCUAUGCAUUACUCACCCGUCCGCCGCUCGCCACCAGGGAGCAAGCUCCCCGUGCUGCCGCUCGACUUGCAUGUGUUAGGCCUGCCGCCACGCGUUCAUCUGAGCCGACGAUACAACUACUGA
rnacentral:rRNA from 1 species